UACGUAGGGUGCAAGCGUUAAUCGGAAUUACUGGGCGUAAAGCGUGCGCAGGCGGUCCGUUAAGACAGAUGUGAAAUCCCCGGGCUUAACCUGGGAACUGCAUUUGUGACUGGCGGACUCGAGUAUGGCAGAGGGGGGUAGAAUUCCACGUGUAGCAGUGAAAUGCGUAGAGAUGCGGAGGAACACCGAUGGCGAAGGCAGCCCCCUGGGCUAACACUGACGCUCAGGCACGAAAGCGUGGGGAGCAAACAGG
rnacentral:rRNA from 1 species